rnacentral:rRNA from 1 species
GAUCCUGGCUCAGGAUGAACGCUGGCGGCGUGCCUAACACAUGCAAGUCGAACGAAGAUGCCGGAGUGCUUGCACUUUGGCAGACUGAGUGGCGGACGGGUGAGUAACGCGUGGGUAACCUGCCUUAUACAGGGGGAUAACAGUUGGAAACGACUGCUAAUACCGCAUAAGCGCACGGUAUCGCAUGAUACAGUGUGAAAAACUCCGGUGGUAUAAGAUGGACCCGCGU